GCACGAGGCAAAUUGCACGGGUGAACAGCCGUCCGGUACGCAGAUAUGCUGUUCGGAAACUUUUGUGUAGACCGAGCGGUGCACAUUCGCAAAGAAGUUACCGGGCUUGCGGUAGUUUUACUGUACCGUAACGUGAGAAUUUUAUCGGCGCUAAAACUGGCAUUGCCUCGAUCUUGAUGCGUUUGAAUUUUUACAAGAAAAAGGAUGAAAUGAUUUUCGUGUAAGAACAUCAUUGGAAAGAAAAACAAACUUAAGACUAUUAAAGCAGAGGUUUUGGGCUUUAAAAUCAAACUAAAUAAUUGCUAGAAAAUAGUAUGAAACAAUUAAGUAAACAACAAUUGAAAGAUGCUUGAAUGAGACAGCAAAUGCAUUGUGCAGACGACAUCAGGAAACAUUGUUAUAACGUUACCUUGCACAUACUGUGAGCCGUGAAUUUCAGACUGUGCUUCUAACUGUUGAAUUCUUUAAUAUUGCAAAUAAAAAUCUAUAAAUCAAUGCACGUUUGAGAACCAUAAAUUUCUGUCUUAAACACUUUAUAACAACGACAGUUUUAGUAAUAAAAAUAGAUUACAAUUAAAAACAAAAUAUAUACAUAAUUGACUAUGAGAUGACAUAUCAAACAAGGUAAAAUUCCGCAAGUUUAUGCAAGAUUGUUAUUUUUGCACGUGAAGGGAAUCAAGAAAGGAAAUUUCAUCUGUGCAGGCACUAUAAAGAGACGAACAAGGCUCUCCUUGAACGCUUUUCUAAAUUCAGUCAUUGCGAAUGCUGGUCUGUUUCUUACGUACCAAUUUCCAAAUGAAACAACCAGACAAUCAUCUAUCUCCUUUGCUUGACGAUACACUUUGCAAUAGUAUGUAACAAAAUAUAACAAUGCUUAACAGAAGUUCGUCAAAGUUCAUAAUACAGAAAAUACAUAUAUGAUUGAAAGUAAUACACACACGCUAUUGAAUAUAGAACAAUUAUAAUUGA